rnacentral:lncRNA from 1 species
GUGCUCCUGUUUGCUUGUGACUUUGUGCAUACGGCCAGCCACCCACAGAUCCAUCCAUAGCCAUAUCCAUAUCCAAUUAUCCAUUUCAGAUAUAUAUAAUGCUCCUAUAUAGCAGAUUAGCAGUGAUAAUCAACUAUAGAUAUAUAUAUACAAAAGAAGGAAAGAAUCGCAUUCGGCAGAUGUCGUUUCUUUCUUGCAUGAGAGGUGUUUGUUUCUUCCCAAGAUCAUGCUCAUGAGUUUACACAGAG